UACAGAGGUCUCAAGCGUUGUUCGGAUUCAUUGGGCGUAAAGGGCGCGUAGGCGGACUCGCAAGUCUGUGGUGAAAGCCCCCAGCUCAACUGGGGAAGUGCCGUGGAUACUGCAAGUCUGGAGGAGGGUAGGGGCAUCUGGAACGCUGGGUGGAGCGGUGAAAUGCGUUGAUAUCCAGCGGAACUCCGGUGGCGAAGGCGAGGUGCUGGACCCUUUCUGACGCUGAGUGCGCGAAAGCCAGGGGAGCAAACGGG
rnacentral:rRNA from 1 species